AGUCGAACGAUGAUGCCCAGCUUGCUGGGUUGAUUAGUGGCGAACGGGUGAGUAACACGUGAGUAACCUGCCCCUGACUCUGGGAUAAGCGUUGGAAACGACGUCUAAUACUGGAUAUGAUCGCCGGCCGCAUGGUCUGGUGGUGGAAAGAUUUUUUGGUUGGGGAUGGACUCGCGGCCUAUCAGCUUGUUGGUGAGGUAAUGGCUCACCAAGGCGACGACGGGUAGCCGGCCUGAGAGGGUGACCGGCCACACUGGGACUGAGACACGGCCCAGACUCCUACGGGAGGCAGCAGUGGGGAAUAUUGCACAAUGGGCGAAAGCCUGAUGCAGCAACGCCGCGUGAGGGAUGACGGCCUUCGGGUUGUAAACCUCUUUUAGUAGGGAAGAAGCGAAAGUGACGGUACCUGCAGAAAAAGCACCGGCUAACUACGUGCCAGCAGCCGCGGUAAUACGUAGGGUGCAAGCGUUGUCCGGAAUUAUUGGGCGUAAAGAGCUCGUAGGCGGUUUGUCGCGUCUGCUGUGAAAUCCCGAGGCUCAACCUCGGGCUUGCAGUGGGUACGGGCAGACUAGAGUGCGGUAGGGGAGAUUGGAAUUCCUGGUGUAGCGGUGGAAUGCGCAGAUAUCAGGAGGAACACCGAUGGCGAAGGCAGAUCUCUGGGCCGUAACUGACGCUGAGGAGCGAAAGCAUGGGGAGCGAACAGGAUUAGAUACCCUGGUAGUCCAUGCCGUAAACGUUGGGCGCUAGAUGUAGGGACCUUUCCACGGUUUCUGUGUCGUAGCUAACGCAUUAAGCGCCCCGCCUGGGGAGUACGGCCGCAAGGCUAAAACUCAAAGGAAUUGAC
rnacentral:rRNA from 1 species